rnacentral:rRNA from 1 species
UACGUAGGGAGCAAGCGUUGUUCGGAUUUACUGGGCGUAAAGGGCGCGUAGGCGGCAUAUUAAGUCAUCUGUGAAAUCUCCGAGCUUAACUCGGAACUGUCAGCUGAUACUGAUGUGCUAGAGUGCGGAAGGGGCAAUCGGAAUUCUUGGUGUAGCGGUGAAAUGCGUAGAUAUUGGGAAGAACACCAGUGGCGAAGGCGGCUAUCUGGACGGUUUCUGACGCUAAGACGCGAAAGCGUGGGGAGCAAACAGG